rnacentral:rRNA from 1 species
GAUGAACGCUGGCGGCGUGCCUAAUACAUGCAAGUCGAGCGAACGGACGAGAAGCUUGCUUCUCUGAUGUUAGCGGCGGACGGGUGAGUAACACGUGGAUAACCUACCUAUAAGACUGGGAUAACUUCGGGAAACCGGAGCUAAUACUGGAUAAUAUUUUGAACCGCAUGGUUCAAAAGUGAAAGACGGUCUUGCUGUCACUUAUAGAUGGAUCCGCGCUGCAUUAGCUAGUUGGUAAGGUAACGGCUUACCAAGGCAACGAUGCAUAGCCGACCUGAGAGGGUGAUCGGCCACACUGGAACUGAGACACGGUCCAGACUCCUACGGGAGGCAGCAGUAGGGAAUCUUCCGCAAUGGGCGAAAGCCUGACGGAGCAACGCCGCGUGAGUGAUGAAGGUCUUCGGAUCGUAAAACUCUGUUAUUAGGGAAGAACAUAUGUGUAAGUAACUGUGCACAUCUUGACGGUACCCAAUCAGAAAGCCACGGCUAACUACGUG